rnacentral:rRNA from 1 species
GACGAACGCUGGCGGCGUGCUUAACACAUGCAAGUCGAACGGAAAGGCCCUUCGGGGUACUCGAGUGGCGAACGGGUGAGUAACACGUGGGUGAUCUGCCCUGCACUUCGGGAUAAGCUUGGGAAACUGGGUCUAAUACCGGAUAUGACUACUGGCUUCAUGGUUGGUGGUGGAAAGCUUUUGCGGUGUGGGAUGGGCACGCGGCCUAUCAGCUUGUUGGUGGGGUAAUGGCCUACCAAGGCGACGACGGGUAGACGGCCUGGGAGGGUAUCCGGCCACAGUGGGAGUGAGAUACGGCCCAGACUCCUACGGGAGGCAGCAGUGGGGAAUAUUGCACAAUGGGCGCAAGCCUGAUGCAGCGACUCCGCGUGAGGGACGACGGCCUUCGGGUUGUAAACCUCUUUCAGCACAGACGAAGCGCAAGUGACGGUAUGUGCAGAAGAAGCACCGGCCAACUACGUGCCAGCCGCCGCAGUAA